GUGAAUCAUCAAAUUUUUGAACGCAAAUUGCACUCUCCUCGGUGAGUAUGCCUGUUUGAGGGUCAGCAUAUAAAAAAUCGACAUCGUUUCUGUUUCGAGGUGGCGUUCGUCGGAAAUUGGGUCAUCUUAAAUCUUUUGGUUUUAAGCGACUUAAACUUCCCUUUUUGGUUCGAUGAAUGUUUCUAAGAUUUAUUUCUUUACACGUUUAAGGUAUUGUUUUUUAUUAGACGUGACCUUCAUAUUGGAUCGCGCCCAUAUUCUUUCAUUAACUGACCUC
rnacentral:misc_RNA from 1 species